CAAGGUCCCUCCCUGAAGGAAGGUUUCUGGAGUGGCCAAAGGGGCCCGCCCUUAGGGCAGCCAGCCUGGUAGGCUCUGAGCUGCCUCUAUCUAGAUUCUGACACUUCCAGCCAAGGUCACCCACCUGACAGCCAUCAACUCAACAGCAGGGGACUCCAGGCUGACCUUUCCCUUGUCACCAGAUCCACACAACAGCGGUGGUGAGGCAGUCCAGACCACUGUCUUGUUCUCUCACUAGCCACGUCUGCCUUGGCACUUGGACAGAAUUCACAGCAAACGUUGCCAGGCAGAGUGUUGAAAAGUUCAAAUCAAUCAGAAGCCAGGUGUUGUCAAGUGGUGUGAGACAAAUGCCCACCCCCAGCCCCAGUGCCAGAACACAGCCUGAACGGGGAAAACAGAAAGCACUUCUCCAUUUAUUACUGUCUUACAAACAUUGUAACAACGGCAAGAAUAAAGGUUAGAGGAGCCACCAGCAGGUAAGUGCUGAGAUUCUUGGGUCUCUGGGAAGCUGCCACCCUCUCGGGCUGCGGCAGUGAGGCGGGGGUCCUCGAGAGCUCACUGGGAAGCCACAGCUGCCUCCAUCCCUGACGGAGACAGUUUUCGAGAAUGGCUUUGCCUUUUCUCCAUUGUGCAGAUCUCGCCCAAGAACCUCUCGUGAACAAGCUCUAGCCAGAGCCAUACAGGAAAGGGAACUGCAAGAGACGCGGUUCCUGGCUUCCCCUCCUGCAAGAGACGCGGUUCCUGGCUUCCCCUCCGUGUUGAAAAGGAGAUCUUAGAAAAGGGUGGAGGGAUGCUGAGCUGAAAAUAAACAAAUGAGCACAGUCCACGCUUCUUACCCCAGAUUAGAACUUCCCAAAAAGGACAGUAACAACAUCACAUUAUUCCUGACAUGAUGUGACUGUCCCUUACACAACUGAAGAUGCCCCCUUACCCCCUAAAAGAAACACACAGUAUCCCAUAGUUGCUUUAUCUCUGGGAAUGUUCACUUCUUUCUUAGUUCAGAUGCAAUCUUCCUUUGAUAUCCUAUGACCUAAAUGCCAAAUUCUAGGGCUAACACUUUAUAUUGGCUAGAGGGGGAAUGAGGAAGGAGAGAAAAAGAGCUGAUUAAUAUAUAUAUAUAUAUAUAUAUAUAUAUCUCAAAGCAAAGAAGAGAUUGUGCGUAGUUAUGAAGACUUCCUUUCUGCAAUUAGUCACGUGCCCAUGUUGGUAUUUAUAACUUUCUUCUUCCACCAGCCGUUGCAUGUUCUCUUCGUCCUCAGUCAACAUCUCACCUGGCCAUGUUCUUUACAUGGCAGCAUGACUCAAACCUUCCUUCAAAAUUCAUUAGAAGCAUCAGCUCUGCCCUCCAGCUGUUCUGCUCCAGACUGUCAUCCCUGACAGCUGCUCUACAGGGUAUCACGGCACACACCGCAGUGCAUCCUGAUGUCUGGCUUCCGGGAACUCCAACGUGUCAACAGAAAAGAUGAUCCGAGAUGGGCCUAAUCAGAGAGAGGUUUGUCAACAGAUGCGUGGCUGUGGAUCUAGACAGGCAACAGCUCCCCACAGACCUCUCCAUCAGAUCCCUUUUUGGUCUCACUCUGGCAGCUGGAUGGGGCCGGCUUUCAGACUGACUGGUUGAGUUGCGACUCAGGGGUCUUCUCAAGUGUUUGUGAGCUUGUUUUGCGUAAGAAAGAGAAGGCCUUUGGGGAGGCUGCACUCACCAGACGACUGGCCCUCUGUAGCCUUUGAAGCCCAAAAAUCAGAUUGCCCUGGGGCUUAUCAGGAGCGACCCCUCUGUUUCCCUGAAGCUCCUCCUGCCAAGCUCCUUGGCUCUCUGAAAACCCCCUGCUUUCUGUUCCGGAGAAGAUGGAUUUGAGCCCACCCAGGCUCCCACCUACUCAUUUUGGCCAGUUUGAAUAAAUCUUUCUCCAUCUCCAAGCACCGAUGUCUCAGUGUUAGACUUGCUGUGCAAGGGAAACGAGAACUUGAGAUUAAGAGUUUUGGUGUCAUAUACACACUCAGCAAAGAAGACGCUACGUUUUCAUGUUCUCAAGAGCAGUAGAGAAAGAAAUGAAUGGUAUUGUGGCUAAUGAAAUUAAAGAAAUCAAAUAAUUAGUGAAACAGGGGCUAGGGCUAAAUUAGAAACAGGUGGUGGAGCGGGGAGACAGGCUGCUGGGAACACUCCACAAAUUGUCAAAACACCCCUCUAAGAUAGGCACUCUGCUACCUCCCUUUACAGAUUAGGAAACAAAGAAAGUAGAAAGCCUCAAGGCAACCAAAUCAAGAGAAAGCAAGUCUUCAAACACUGAAGUUCUUCAAUGGCAGAAUAUUCUGCCAGAAUUCUGAAAAAGCCACAUGACAUUCCCACAUAAAUAAGAAGAGGAAGAGAGCGGGGAGAGGUGACAAGAGAGAGACAGAAAGAAAGAGAGACAGAGAGAGAAAUACAGCAAGGAAGGAAGGCAAAGAAAGGAGAGUGACAAGAGAAAAUGAGAAGUAAAAAGGCAGAACUGGGAAGGAAGAGGGAGACGUUGGCGGGUGACCUCCAUUUAUUCCAGUAACAUUUCUUGGUCACCUGCUCUGAGUCUGGAACUGUGCAGACUCUGGGUAUAUGAUAUGAACAAGUCCCCUCCCCAUCCGUGAGGCUUACAUUCCACUAAGUAAACCAGACAUUAAUCUGCAAAUUUAAAAAUUGCUGCCUUGUCUGCAAUUUACUUUACUUCACAGACUGUGUGAUAUAUAGGCGGUCAUUUUAAUUUAUAUUCUAGAUGUGGUUGGUUAAUAUCUGAACUCCCUAAUCAGAAAUACACACUUUAGGAGUGGCUAGUUAGCAUUUGAAAGACUAAUCAAAAUUCACACUCCAGAGACAGCUACCAUAGGCUCUAGUUAUCUUCAUAUUUGAUCAACGCCAGAAGAUUUGUUGCUUAGUAUAAUGGAUGUUGGAAAUAAUUUUUCUUUGGUGAAAUAAAUGAUCUUCAAAUUGUACGGAAUG
ensembl:lncRNA